UCGUGAUAGAAUGGAGGCUACUCAUUGAGAUAUCAUCUCAAUCUGAUUAUCUGCUAAUCUGAGCUCUGAAGGAUGUACUCUGCUGUCCUGCUGCUGAACUGAAGUGUGCCUCCUCGCAGACUCUGACGGGCCAGCCUCGUGGUCAGAAACAAACUGAAUAUCUGGUGAUACUGCUCUAUGUUCAUAGAGGGGUGAGAAUGGUCCUUCCGCCUCUGCUCUAUCCUCAGCUCUCUCUUCCACACCUUUUGUCCAACCACCAUCAGUUUUAGAAAAUCCCAUACGGUGCAAUGUAUGGCGGUUGAUAGUGUCGGAGUGAGAUAGUCUAGCUACAGCCUCCCCCUCAAAGCAACUCCGAACCUCCUAAAUGCUAAAGUGAGAGUCAUUCCAAAAGGCAAGUGUGCCUUGGACUUGUUCAAGGUCUCUCUCAUAGCCUCAAACAUCAAGGCAGGGAGGUUCAGGGGGGUUUGUGUAAUCACAUGAUACAUAAUACAGAUGUCCCGACCAGAAAGAAGAUCAUGUCUACCACUUCUAGGAAAAAAUAAUUUGGUUACCAUGUGGUGUAGCAGUCUCAUCUCAACGGAAAGAAUCUUUGCCUCUAAUUUGUUCAGACUUCCAGUGAAGGAUCUCCCUAGGAUAACAUUUAUUCCUUCCUCUUCAACUGGGAGCUCCAUGUUGGUAUACCCCUCACAUGGUAAGUGAAGUAUCUCCCCCAA
rnacentral:lncRNA from 1 species